GCCAGACUCCUACGGGAGGCAGCAGUGGGGAAUAUUGCACAAUGGGGGAAACCCUGAUGCAGCGACGCCGCGUGAGUGAAGAAGUAUUUCGGUAUGUAAAGCUCUCUCAGCUGGGAAGAAAAUGACGGUACCUGACUAAGAAGCCCCGGCUAACUACGUGCCAGCAGCCGCGGUAAUACGUAGGGGGCAAGCGUUAUCCGGAUUUACUGGGUGUAAAGGGAGCGUAGACGGCAGUGCAAGUCCGGAGUGAAAGCCCGGGGCUCAACCCUGGGACUGCUCUGGAAACUGUAAAGCUGGAGUGCGGGAGGGGCAGGCGGAAUUCCUGGUGUAGCGGUGAAAUGCGUAGAUAUCAGGAGGAACACCGGCGGCGAAGGCGGCCUGCUGGACCGUAACUGACGUUGAGGCUCGAAAGCGUGGGGAGCAAACAGGAUUAGAUACCCGGGUAUU
rnacentral:rRNA from 1 species